rnacentral:rRNA from 1 species
AACUUAAGCAUAUCAAUAAGCGGAGGAAAAGAAACCAACAGGGAUUGCCCCAGUAACGGCGAGUGAAGCGGCAACAGCUCAAAUUUGAAAUCUGGCCCCUAGGGUCCGAGUUGUAAUUUGUAGAGGAUGCUUUUGGUGAGGUGCCGCCCGAGUUCCCUGGAACGGGACGCCACAGAGGGUGAGAGCCCCGUCUGGCUGGCCACCGAGCCUCUGUAAAGCUCCUUCGACGAGUCGAGUAGUUUGGGAAUGCUGCUCAAAAUGGGAGGUAUAUGUCUUCUAAAGCUAAAUAUUGGCCAGAGACCGAUAGCGCACAAGUAGAGUGAUCGAAAGAUGAAAAGCACCUUGAAAAGAGGGUUAAACAGUACGUGAAAUUGUUGAAAGGGAAGCGCUUGUGACCAGACUUGGGCGCGGCGGAUCAUCCGGGGUUCUCUCCGGUGCACUUCGCCGCGUUCAGGCCAGCAUCAGUUCGGCGCGGGGGAAAAAGGCUUCGGGAACGUGGCUGCUCCGGCAGUGUUAUAGCCCGUUGCAUAAUACCCUGCGCUGGACUGAGGACCGCGCAUCUGCAAGGAUGCUGGCGUAAUGGUCACCAGCGACC